rnacentral:RNase_P_RNA from 1 species
ACAGUGUCUCGGUUCUGUCGCUGCUGCGCAUAGGCGCAGGAGAGGAAAGUCCGGGCAGCACAGGGAACCCCACUUCCGAAAGUAGAAGCUGUCGGCGACGGCAGGUGUCGGUAGAAGAAAAUAACCGCCACGCCUCGUGUGUGGUAAGGGUGAGAAGGUGGUGUAAGAGACCACCAGCCGGUGGGCGAUUAUCGGGCUGUACCAUCUGGGGGCUGCAAGUUCAUGUAAACCAUCGUUUGAGGGCGUCCCGUCCGACCAUAGUGACGGUGGAGGGUAGAAUGCUGGAGACGCAGGGCGACCUGCGUAGUAGAUAAAUGACAGAAGGCUCGCAUCGCAGCAAUGCAGUGCGAGAAACAGAACCCGGCUUAUAGAGACACUGUUUCC